UCCUCCCUCUGUCGGCGUGCUUAACACAUGCAAGUCGAACGGAAAGGCCCCCUUGUGGGGUACUCGAGUGGCGAACGGGUGAGUAACACGUGAGUAACCUACCCUUGACUUUGGGAUAACUUCAGGAAACUGGGGCUAAUACCGGAUAGGAGCUCCUGCUGCAUGGUGGGGGUUGGAAAGUUUCGGCGGUUGGGGAUGGACUCGCGGCUUAUCAGCUUGUUGGUGGGGUAGUGGCUCACCAAGGCUUUGACGGGUAGCCGGCCUGAGAGGGUGACCGGCCACAUUGGGACUGAGAUACGGCCCAGACUCCUACGGGAGGCAGCAGUGGGGAAGAUUGCACAAUGGGCGGAAGCCUGAUGCAGCAACGCCGCGUGCGGGAUGACGGCCUUCGGGUUGUAAACCGCUUUCGCCUGUGACGAAGCGUGAGUGACGGUAAUGGGUAAAGAAGCACCGGCUAACUACGUG
rnacentral:rRNA from 1 species